AUGGUUAUAGGCUGACAGGACCAUAAAGGAGAUGAUGCUAGAUAGUUGAUAGAUCCUAUAGUUCAACUUCAUCCUAGUUAGAAGCUGGAUUCAUCUGACAUCAGAGAAAUGAAAUUUCAGGAGACCAAAACUAGAUCUGAGUUUCUUUAUAGAAACUUCUUUCCCAGUCUUGAAACUUGGAUGCUUUGAGUCCUGGAUAUGCAAUGGAUGAUGACAACAUUUUCCUUUUAUGUAUGAAGGCGUAGAUGGAAGCUGACUUUUCUCACCAAAAAUGGCUUAUAGAAUCAACUUGAAAAAACAUGAGGCAGUAAACAAAGGAAAGAGUAAAAUAUUUAUUUUAUCAUCCUUAAAUUCUUUGCUAGAUUGUAAACUUCAUGAAAGCAGGAUAACUUCCUUAUCCUUAACACCUGGUCUAUAAUACAUACUCAAAAAAUAA